CGGAGGAUCCAGGCGUUAUCCGGAAUCAUUGGGUUUAAAGGGUCCGUAGGCGGGUUUAUAAGUCAGUGGUGAAAGCCCAUCGCUCAACGAUGGAACGGCCAUUGAUACUGUAGAUCUUGAAUUAUUAGGAAGUAACUAGAAUAUGUAGUGUAGCGGUGAAAUGCUUAGAGAUUACAUGGAAUACCAAUUGCGAAGGCAGGUUACUACUAAUGGAUUGACGCUGAUGGACGAAAGCGUGGGUAGCGAACAGGAUUAGAUACCCUGGUAGUCCACGCCGUAAACGAUGGAUACUAGCUGUUCGGAGCAAUCUGAGUGGCUAAGCGAAAGUGAUAAGUAUCCCACCUGGGGAGUACGUUCGCAAGAAUG
rnacentral:rRNA from 1 species